GAUGAACGCUGGCGGCGUGCCUAAUACAUGCAAGUCGAGCGAACGGACGAGAAGCUUGCUUCUCUGAUGUUAGCGGCGGACGGGUGAGUAACACGUGGAUAACCUACCUAUAAGACUGGGAUAACUUCGGGAAACCGUAGCUAAUACCGGAUAAUAUUUUGAACCGCAUGGUUCAAAAGUGAAAGACGGUCUUGCUGUCACUUAUAGAUGGAUCCGCGCUGCAUUAGCUAGUUGGUAAGGUAACGGCUUACCAAGGCAACGAUGCAUAGCCGACCUGAGAGGGUGAUCGGCCACACUGGAACUGAGACACGGUCCAGACUCCUACGGGAGGCAGCAGUAGGGAAUCUUCCGCAAUGGGCGAAAGCCUGACGGAGCAACGCCGCGUGAGUGAUGAAGGUCUUCGGAUCGUAAAACUCUGUUAUUAGGGAAGAACAUAUGUGUAAGUAACUGUGCACAUCUUGACGGUACCUAAUCAGUAAGCCACGGCUAACUACGUGCCAGCAGCCGCGGUAAUACGUAGGUGGCAAGCGUUAUCCGGAAUUAUUGGGCGUAAAGCGCGCGUAGGCGGUUUUUUAAGUCUGAUGUGAAAGCCCACGGCUCAACCGUGGAGGGUCAUUGGAAACUGGAAAACUUGAGUGCAGAAGAGGAAAGUGGAAUUCCAUGUGUAGCGGUGAAAUGCGCAGAGAUAUGGAGGAACACCAGUGGCGAAGGCGACUUUCUGGUCUGUAACUGACGCUGAUGUGCGAAAGCGUGGGGAUCAAACAGGAUUAGAUACCCUGGUAGUCCACGCCGUAAACGAUGAGUGCUAAGUGUUAGGGGGUUUCCGCCCCUUAGUGCUGCAGCUAACGCAUUAAGCACUCCGCCUGGGGAGUACGACCGCAAGGUUGAAACUCAAAGGAAUUGACGGGGACCCGCACAAGCGGUGGAGCAUGUGGUUUAAUUCGAAGCAACGCGAAGAACCUUACCAAAUCUUGACAUCCUUUGACAACUCUAGAGAUAGAGCCUUCCCCUUCGGGGGACAAAGUGACAGGUGGUGCAUGGUUGUCGUCAGCUCGUGUCGUGAGAUGUUGGGUUAAGUCCCGCAACGAGCGCAACCCUUAAGCUUAGUUGCCAUCAUUAAGUUGGGCACUCUAAGUUGACUGCCGGUGACAAACCGGAGGAAGGUGGGGAUGACGUCAAAUCAUCAUGCCCCUUAUGAUUUGGGCUACACACGUGCUACAAUGGACAAUACAAAGGGCAGCGAAACCGCGAGGUCAAGCAAAUCCCAUAAAGUUGUUCUCAGUUCGGAUUGUAGUCUGCAACUCGACUACAUGAAGCUGGAAUCGCUAGUAAUCGUAGAUCAGCAUGCUACGGUGAAUACGUUCCCGGGUCU
rnacentral:rRNA from 1 species